UACGAAGGGGGCUAGCGUUGCUCGGAAUCACUGGGCGUAAAGGGCGCGUAGGCGGCCAUUCAAGUCGGAGGUGAAAGCCCAGGGCUCAACCCUGGAAUUGCCUUCGAUACUGUCUGGCUAGGGACCGGAAGAGGUAAGUGGAACUGCGAGUGUAGAGGUGAAAUUCGUAGAUAUUCGCAAGAACACCAGUGGCGAAGGCGGCUUACUGGUCCGGUUCUGACGCUGAGGCGCGAAAGCGUGGGGAGCAAACAGG
rnacentral:rRNA from 1 species